CUUCGGCAUAAAUGGGAUUAUUCAAUUUUAAUUCUCAGAUUUAAGCUAAUGAAAUACUCGAGAAAGACACACCAUAUGCUAGGACAAAGUCAGACAAGCGCUCCUUCUUACUCAGUGCCAUCCUAUAAUGGGUUGCCUCAAGCAGCCAGGAAAAAAACAAUGACUAAACAGAAUUUAAGUCUCUAACAUACACGACUAGAUUUACACAUGUCUACGUGUAGUACGUAAUUAUCUUCUCUGUUGAAACGUCUGCAAUUUAUAAGAUAAGAUCACACUAUUAUUCCCCCUUUUAAUUGACCUUAAACUGGGAUUUUCAUGUAGAAGAUUUGAACAUUGAAUUAUUGUUUAUCCAGUUAGGCUUAAUCUAAAAUUGCAACUCACUAUGAACGAUCCAUUUUUUUCUUUCAAUUAUCCAGUAAACUAUUUGAAUCGUACGUUUAAAUGACAGUUUUAGGGAUUUCACAAAGAAAUCUGCCAGGAGCUGGAGACA